rnacentral:sRNA from 1 species
GCUGGGCACGGUGCUGCUUGCCUGUAAUCCCAGUGGCUCAGGAGGCUGAGGCAGGAGGAUCAUGAGUUCAAAGCCAGCCUCAGCAAGGGUGAGGCACUAAGUGAGAACCUGUCUCUA